GCCUGGGAACAUGUACCUCCUUCUUUCCCAGCCUCUUGUUUGGUCCCUUUCCAUUUUUUCCCUCCCCUCAUCUAGCUUGAAGGGGAGGAGGAGGAGCAUCCAAAGCAUUUCUCUGCAUCUCUGAUAAUAUUCAGCCAUUUAAAAGCUUCUCAAGCCUUACCCUUUAUUGUGGUUUUGCAUUUUCAGACCUAAAGUACCAACGUUCAGCCCCAGUGCUCCUGACUCAGGACACAUGGAGACUUGAACUGAGAAUAGUUCUGAAGGUUUUCAAACAAACACACAAGCCUAUCUCCUAACCAAUUACUCUAGCCUCCAAGAGAUAAAGAGUUGAAAAGCGUCUCUUCAGAGAGUAAAAUAUGUAAUGUUUGUCCACAUUGAAAAUUCUUUGCUUUAAUAUCUCCAAAUUUAGGACCCAUUUUAAAACACACAGAUAUCCAUCAUUUAAUUGCUUUAAGAUAACGUUAUAUCAUUGAGGUUUUGAUCAUUUCUUUGAAAAGUUAUUUUUAGAGAUGUUCAUUUUCGGUGGAAGCACUAAAGUACAGUGGCAUUCUGCAAUAGCAAUUUUCCAUCAAAUGCUUUUUUCUGUAAGUUGUGAAAACAGCAUUGAUUAUACGGCCAAACACUGCUAAAAAGUGCUCUGCAUCAUAAAAGGAUUUGGAACCUCGUUUAUUAUCCUCUAAAUUGUACAUUGUACACUCGGUAGCAACAUGUUGUAAACUAAACAGCGUUUCCUAUCCAAACCAAUAGUAUCAUAAUAAAACAAUUCAGACGUUUUCUGAAAAGCAUGAUUUGGUGGAUUCCAAAUCAAAAACAAAUCUUUUCGCUCCCCAUAACAAAUGCUGGUGGUGUGGCUGCCUCAGUAGUUUUGUCCAACAGUGUUUGGUAAUCCCAGUGACUCAGAAUGGCCAUGAAAGACUGGAUGAACUGACAGAGAUGCUAAAAGCGGCUGAAUCCCAUCACCAAAGAGCAAACUCUGAGGCAUAGUGGCUGGUUUGGGGUUCUCACGUUACAUCACGUAGAAGUGUUUGUGUUUUCCUCCUGAGACAUCAAAUAAACAUCAGAAAGACAAACCUAUUAGCAUUGACCAAACUCAUCCAAAAAUCUAUCCUAGUUAGAAUUAACGUAAUUUUCUUGGUAUCAAAGGUUGUGCCAGAUUUGAAACUGAAUUUGAAGUCCAAAUUCCUGUGGUGGGGACCACAUUUCUUUGACCAGGCUCUUCCAUUUCUUUAUGUGAGCACAGCUCCCAGCAGGAAAUACUCAUUUCUCAAACUUUUCUUGAGACCAUUAAAUCAGUACUACAGACAGUCAGCAGUUGAAUGGACACAUCCUUUUUAUUGGCUCCCUGAUAAUCUGCACAGUGAAAUAUGGAAUUGUUCUGUACGGAGUUACCAGCUUUGGAAGCAAAAUAAGGUACCUUUCUUUCAAUAUUCUAAUUAAGUUACUCUAACCCCUCAAUCUGCCUGUGGAGGGAAGAUUUCUUCCAUCCCUGAGGUCUUCCUUCCCAAAAGAAGUCCCAAGACUGAGAGGGGUUUAUGCAAUCCAGUCAAUCUGUUUUGAUGAUCAUCUAUUUUAGAAAAGAAAAUAGAAUAACUUCCAUGGUCAGAGUUUCAGUCUGUUCGGGCUACUGUAACAAAAACACCAUAGAUUGUGUGGCGUAAACUCAUGGUUCUGGAGGCUGGGAAGUCCAAGAUCAAGGUCGUAUUUGGUGUCUGGUGAUUCAUAGAGGGACCUCUUCUCCCUGUGUUCUUACGUGGUGGGAG
rnacentral:lncRNA from 1 species